rnacentral:rRNA from 1 species
UACGGAGGGAGCUAGCGUUGUUCGGAAUUACUGGGCGUAAAGCGUACGUAGGCGGUUAUUCAAGUCAGAGGUGAAAGCCUGGAGCUCAACUCCAGAACUGCCUUUGAAACUAGAUAGCUAGAAUCUUGGAGAGGUGAGUGGAAUUCCGAGUGUAGAGGUGAAAUUCGUAGAUAUUCGGAAGAACACCAGUGGCGAAGGCGCUCUACUGGGCCAUUACUGACGCUGAUGGACGAAAGCUAGGGGAGCGAAAGGG